rfam:Brassica oleracea var. oleracea cultivar TO1000 chromosome C1, whole genome shotgun sequence
ACACUUUUCCAAGUCGUUGAAUGCUCGAAAGAUUCUUCAUUAUUAUGAUUCACUUGUAUAGGAAGAUCUAAUAA